rnacentral:rRNA from 1 species
GAUGAACGCUAGCGGCAGGCCUAAUACAUGCAAGUCGAGGGGCAGCACGGGUAGCAAUAUCUGGUGGCGACCGGCGCACGGGUGCGUAACACGUAUACAAUCUGCCUUUUACAGGGGAAUAGCCCGGAGAAAUUCGGAUUAAUGCCCCAUAAUAGAUUUACUGGCAUCAGUAGAUUUUGAAAGCUCCGGCGGUAAAAGAUGAGUAUGCGCAUGAUUAGCUAGUUGGUAGUGUAAUGGACUACCAAGGCAACGAUCAUUAGGUGAUCUGAGAGGACUACCCCCCACACUGGUACUGAGACACGGACCAGACUCCUACGGGAGGCAGCAGUAAGGAAUAUUGGUCCAUGGAGGCAACUCUGAACCAGCCAUGCCGCGUGCAGGAUGAAUGCCCUAUGGGUAGUAAACUGCUUUUAUACGGGAGAAAACCCGGGUACGUGUACCCGGUUGAUAGUACUGUAAGAAUAAGGAUCGGCUAACUUCGUGCCAGCCGCCGCCGUAAUAC